ensembl:lincRNA
AGAUAUUGGCCUUAUAGUCUUUCUUUUGGUGUAAUCUUAAAUUUUUCAACAUAAUUGCUUUUUAAAUUUCUUUACUGUAUUUUGUAUAUUCUAAGUUGAUCAACUGAUUUCAGAUAUCAAUUCAUCUCAUAUGUCUUACCUUCUAAAAAUAAGGAAGAAGUUUAUGGAGCUGAGCUUUUUCUUGCAUCUGAACUAUUUUAUGAUCUUAUGUUCCUCCUGCCAGUCCAGCUCCCCUCCACCUUUAAAUAUGUAUUUGGUUUCACCUUUCAUUGAAUUACUUAGUAGAGCUUUGUAAGAAUUCCUGGUGAUUUCCAUGUUGUUCAUGAAGAGUCAAUUUUUUUUGAUGAAGUUAUAAAGUAAUGAGUGGCCAUUAGUAAUUUUGUGCUGACUUUUCAAAGUAUUUAAAAAAAUGUUACUUUUUAUUAACUUGUUAGUUCUUGUCUCUUCUUGAGUGAAUAAGUAGAAUUGUUUUUAGAAAUAUUCUUGGUCUGUAAACAUAAUUCAACUAAAUCUUGAAAAUAGCAAUUCUAAUAUUUUGAUUAAUUUAUGGCACCAUUCUAAGCAUAUUAUGGAAAACCCCGCAAUUUGUGGCGAUAGCCUUUACCCUCACCAUUGUUUACCUUUAGGAGUUAAGAGAAGACCAUGGUCGCAAUGGUUUACUUGUGUGGUCCUGGGCAGCUGAGACUGAGGGAUUUACCUGGGCUGCUAUUUUGCACAAAGAAAGCUGGGGUGACCAGAAAGCCCAAAUAAACAAAAACCAGGGGAGAAUGGGGAGGUGGUUAUUCUGAGGCGCUUGAUUCUUUGAGGCUACAAAGCUCAGUUUUCUGCACUAACUUUUCUAAGACAGGUUUGAGGCACUGCUGGACAGUGCUCUGCGUUGCCCGUUCGCGACAUGUGAGGAUGUAAGAACGCUUAAAAUGAGAAAGACUGACUUAUUUGUUCUGAGUCAAUGCCUUCACAAACUUGCCUGCUUUUCUACCUCCUCGUAGAUGGACGAUGUCAUCUAUCUGGUCGUUGCCUGAAGAAUUUCUAUCACAGUGGUUUCUUCAGGAAUGUUUCACACCCCAAACUGGAAGCAAUCCAAAUGUUCCACAGCUCAAUGGAAGAACAAAUUAAGGUAUAUAUUAACGGAAUGGAGUACCAUACAGAAAUAGGAAAUAUAUGAUUACUACUUGCAGUAAAAUAAAUGAAUCUCACAGACAUAAAGGUAUGUAAAGGAAAUUGCAAAACGGUAUAUUUCAUUUACAUGAAAAGUUCAAGUACAAUUAAGCAAACCCAUUUGGUGAUACAAGUCAGAAUAGUAAGUUCUGUUGGGGCUGGGGAGAGUAUUAGUAAGAAGGUGGAAUGAACAUCUUGGGUUGCUGGCAAUGUUCUGUAUUUUGUUCUGGGCAGUGUUGUAUGCGUAUAAACAUUUAAACAUGUUUAGGGCUGCACAACUAAGUAUGCACUCUAUGAUUGUUAACAGUCUAGCGAGCUUUGUGUUGGAUUAAGUUCUUGUAUAUGGCCUCAGCAGAUCAAACUAAACAUCAAAACAGAGUCAUUCAUCCUACAGUUUCAAAUAAAAAUUAAGCUCUUUAUCUGAUAUUUCAAGAAACCAGGAGAAAUGAGAGAUAACAGCCAACUUCCCCAAACAGGUCAGUUUCAAUUGUCAUGAUAAUGAAUUCCCUCUGCUUUAAUCCUUACACAAAGUAAGUGAUUUCAAGUAAUGUGAUUUUUUUGUUGUUGUGUUUUUGGUACCGGGGAUCGAACUCAGGACUUUGCGCUUGUGAGGCAGGUGGCGGCACCACUGAGCUACAUCUCCAGUCCAAUGUGAUGUUAAGUAGUCAAUAAUUUUUCUAUUUCCCUAUCCCCUUCUUAUAAGAGAAGUAACUUUAAAAUAGCCAAUCUAUUCUUUGUGCUUUGUUUCUGCUUUUCUCAGUCUUCUCUGUCUAUAAAACCAACUUCUGCUAAGAGCAUCAAAACUAUACUAGGCUGGGGAUUUAGCUCAGGGGUUCUGAGGCCUGCCUUGCAAGCACAAGGACCCAAGUUCAAUUCCUGGUACCCCUCCCCCCAAAUUCUACUUCACAGAAUGAAAUGUUCAAAUCUAAAAUGGAAAACAGACAAUAAAGAUUCUUAAACCAAAUUGCUGUAAUUUUUCCUUUGACAUGUAUCUAAGUUAAAACAAGGAAAAUAUUU